CCCUCAAUCCAGAGGAUAAGAUCCACCUUCUCGCACAUAAAGCAGAUCUCGAGAGAAAAAUACAGCUGCAAUCGGAGACGACGAUGGAGCUGAAGAAGAUCGUUGUCUUAGCUUUGGUUCUGUUCAUAAUCUCGUCAUCGCAUUUGGAGGGCGUGGAAUCGGACGCCACUGACUGCUACGAUGCUUGCUCCACUGCCUGUGUUGGACGGGAAACGAGGGAGCAGCAGCGAUGCGAUCGCAAGUGCACCAUAAAAUGCGGUCCAGAUGCAGAUCUUCAAGCUACGGGGCACCAGAGGUGAAGAAGUUCCAGUCUCUGGACUGGAUGAAAACAUCAACAGCUUGAGGCUACCACAUGAAUAAAAUAUGUACUCAAACCCUAUCUGUUCUUUUUCCUUCUUUUUUUUCUCACUAUUUUUAAUGUUAAGAGACUAUAGGACAUAAGAGCCUGUUUGAGCCCUUUCACUAGUCGCUAGUCAUCUAUGAAUGCAUCUAUAAUAAUAUAUUUUAUGUUUAAUCCUA